rnacentral:rRNA from 1 species
AUUGAACGCUGGCGGCAGGCCUAACACAUGCAAGUCGAACGGUAGCACAGAGAGCUUGCUCUCGGGUGCCGAGUGGCGGACGGGUGAGUAAUGUCUGGGAAACUGCCCGAUGGAGGGGGAUAACUACUGGAAACGGUAGCUAAUACCGCAUAAUGUCGCAAGACCAAAGAGGGGGACCUUCGGGCCUCUUGCCAUCGGAUGUGCCCAGAUGGGAUUAGCUUGUUGGUGAGGUAAUGGCUCACCAAGGCGACGAUCCCUAGCUGGUCUGAGAGGAUGACCAGCCACACUGGAACUGAGACACGGUCCAGACUCCUACGGGAGGCAGCAGUGGGGAAUAUUGCACAAUGGGCGCAAGCCUGAUGCAGCCAUGCCGCGUGUGUGAAGAAGGCCUUCGGGUUGUAAAGCACUUUCAGCGGGGAGGAAGGCAAUGCGGUUAAUAACCGUGUUGAUUGACGUUACCCGCAGAAGAAGCACCGGCUAACUCCGUG